AGCGUCCUCGUGAAUUCCAUCGUUCGGGGGGUAGAGCCACUGUUUUCGGCUAGGGGGUCAUUUCCCGACUUGACCAACCAGAUGCAAACUACGAAUACCGAAGAAUGUUAUCACGGGAGCGUCCUCGUGAAUUCCAUCGUUCGGGGGGUAGAGCCACUGUUUUCGGCUAGGGGGUCAUUUCCCGACUUGACCAACCAGAUGCAAACUACGAAUACC
rnacentral:rRNA from 1 species